CCUACGGGAGGCAGCAGUGGGGAAUAUUGCACAAUGGGGGAAACCCUGAUGCAGCGACGCCGCGUGAGUGAAGAAGUAAUUCGUUAUGUAAAGCUCUAUCAGCAGGGAAGAAAAUGACGGUAUCUGAGUAAGAAGCCCCGGCUAACUACGUUCCAGCAGCCGCGGUAAUACGUAGGGGGCAAGCGUUAUCCGGAUUUACUGGGUGUAAAGGGAGCGUAGACGGCAGUGCAAGUCUGGAGUGAAAGGCUGGGGCUCAACCCCAGGACUGCUCUGGAAACUGUACGGCUGGAGUGCAGGAGAGGUAAGUGGAAUUCCUAGUGUAGCGGUGAAAUGCGUAGAUAGUAGGAGGAACACCAGUGGCGAAGGCGGCUUACUGGACUGUAACUGACGUUGAGGCUCGAAAGCGUGGGGAGCAAACAGGAUUAGAUACCCCUGUAGUC
rnacentral:rRNA from 1 species